AUUGAACGCUGGCGGUAGGCCUAACACAUGCAAGUCGAACGAGUGGCGGACGGGUGAGUAAUGUCUGGGAAACUGCCCGUUGGAGGGGGAUAACUACUGGAAACGGUCGCUAAUACCGCAUACCCUCGGAUGUGCCCAGAUGGGAUUAGCUAGUAGGUGGGGUAACGGCUCACCUGGGCGACGAACCCUAGCUGGUCUGAAAGGAUGACCGACCACGCUGGAACUGGGACACGGUCCAGACUCCUACGGAAGGCAGCAGUGGGGAAUAUUGCACAAUGAGCGCAAGCCUGAGGCGGCCAUGCCGCGAGUAUAAAGAGGGCCUUCGGGUUGUAAAGUACGUGCAGCGAGGAGGCGGUACUCGAAGAAGAAGCACCGGGUAACUCCGUGCCAGCAGCCGCGGUAAUUC
rnacentral:rRNA from 1 species